rnacentral:lncRNA from 1 species
AAACUUUGAGGUUUAUACAGCUAUUCUUAAUCCACAUGAUCUAGGGAUAAAAGCAAGAUUUUAAUUACUGGAUAUUUUUGUGGAUAAAGUUAAUCAUGUGCUUGUUUCGGUUAUGAUGCCCUUCAUCUUGUUUCAAAUUAUAGUCUUCUUUAUUGGAGUAUUAUUGUUUAAAGUAUUUUCUACAUCUUGUAAGUUACAUUCUAGAAAUGUAUAAUCUUUGCUUUCAACUCUUGGAUGUAAAAAAUGUUUUAAAAAACAUUGGAAACUAAAC